CCCUCUGUCCGCUCACUGCUCCAUUUUUCUUGCGCGAGGGAGGUCGGACACCCGCCGGCGGCGGCGGCGACCUCUCUCCAUCGCGCCGUGCCCCACUAACCCCCGCCCCCAUCCCACGCCGUCCGCUGCGUUUUCCUCGCGCCGAGUGAGGUCGGACGGCCGCCGGCGGCAACCUCGCGCUUCGAUCCGAUUUCAUCGGCUGCGGCGGCGGCAACCUCGCGCGUCGAUUCGUUUUCAUCGGGGUGUGCCGGCGGUGGCGGCUUAGUCUUCCCUGCUCCCGUGUGGUGCCCCGGCGGGGGCGGCGGCUCAGUCCCGGCGGCACCGCAAGUCCAGGACCCACCUAGGUACACAAACGAAGAAGACCAUCAUCAGUACUACGGAUGGCAACUCAAUUAGAUAGGAUUAAUUUGGGUGUGUUCCUCAGAGUGAGAAUUCAGCAACCAAUUUUCGAGGUACUGCUAAAACCAAAAGGCUAUAAGGGACUGUGUUAGGCAUAUCAGAAGAUACUGUCUUCAAGGUUUGAGAAAACACCAAACCACCAAGUAAAUACUAGUAGUUACUAAAUACCAAAUCACCACGCUGCAAAAGGAUUGUACUAUAUGUUGCUGACAAUAAAUGACGAGCAGCAGUGCGUAUCAAAGAGCUUUGUUUAA